CUCCCUCAUCCUAUGCUGUGUGUUCCGUCUACCUGCCUGUUUUGGGAGAGGACAGCCAGGCUGCCGUUAGAGCUGUUUAUUAUUCCGCCAUCAUAGGAGGAGUGCUCUGAUGGCUCUGAGCUGAACUCAAGAAGCACAUGGAAGAACAGCAAAGGAAGAAAUCCAAAGUAACUGUGGGGAGGAGGAAAGAACCAAAGCCACUGGACAGAGAUUAAAGCCCAAACAGUAAAGCAACAUCCACAUGAUCUCUAAAUGCACUCACACUGAUUUUUCCACUCGAUAUUCACAGAUCUUCACUAUGUGUGUAGCCAGCAGCUGACAUGAAUUUGCUUAUGAGUUUAAGACACCAGUUUUUCUUUGGAGACACAGCAGGAUCAGUACAGUCUGUACGGAUAGGAUACCAUUAAUAAAACACCUUCCAUGGACUAUGAUACAACAACAUCAUCAUCAACAUGCGGUCCUGAAGAGGAAAAACACCAGUUCAGAGGCACUGGCUAAGCCUGUACCACCUGCCAUAUUGUAUGUGUUUUUAAAGAGUAAUGGAGGGAGGAGUAACAGAUCAGUGAUCAGAAAGUGACUUGUACCAACAAGUCCACAGCCAUAAGAUCACAGAUAAGCAUUGAAACAACAGAAGAAUAGUGUUAGAUCAACAUUAAAUCAUCUUCACCCUCCUGCCUUACGGUGAGUUAAUUGUUCCCUGUACUUUUACAACAUCCAGGGAUCAGAGAGUGUGUGUGUGGUUCAGUAUAUCAACAGUGAAAUCAGGCCUCAUCCAGCACCAGUCUCAGCUUGCUUCCUGUCUCUGCAAACUGGAUUAUCAUCUUAAGAUCUGUGACUGGAUAAAGUUGCAGUAAUUACACAGAACUAGGCCAUCAUGGAAUUUCACAAAUGUCAUGCUCAUCUUUUCUACGGAAUGAUAAUCUGUAACUGAUAUAGCCGUUGAUGAUGUUGUAAGUGCUGAUGUCGUUUUAACUUUUUACACAAUUAGCAUGUUGUAUAUUCCUUUGGGCAAUAAAUGGAGGUUACCAGCAGAGUUUUCACUGUAAUUGUAGACCUCACUGGCUCACAGCCAGACACACACAGCUCCUCUAGAGGUGGAUUUGAUGAUAGAUAUCAAUAAAGACC